AGCAAAAUAGAAGAUGAAGGUCUAGCUGUGCCAGUCAGUGCUGAGCCACACAGUUGCUGCUGGCAUGUUUGCAAAAUAGCACAAGGUGUAGCAAAAUAGAAGAUGAAGGUCUAGCUGUGCCAGUCAGUGCUGAGCUACACAGUUGCUGCUGGCAUGUUUGCAAUAUAGCACAAGGUGCUGUAAAAUGAAGAUAUAUUGUUAAAUAUCAUGAGAUAGAAAUAAAAGAUGAAGGUCUAGCUGUACCCGUCCCGAGCCACACUACUGCAGCCACGUUGCUGCUGGCAUUUUUGCAAAAUAGCACAAGGUCACAACAAUUGAUGUAACAAAUAUAAUCAAUGGACCAGGCACCUGCACCAUGAUUCUUUGGAAUACUAAAAUUCGUCUCUUUAUGUCUGUACUUCUCAUAAUGAAAAAUGUCACGUUUUUAUGAAAGAAAUAAUGGAAUCAAAUAAUAAAUAAAACAAGCAUAUGCUGGAAGUCCUCAGAAACAGCUCCGACUUUGAUGAUUUUUUUUAAAGUCAUGUUUUUUAAGUUAUUUAAAAUCAGAAAUGUUUUGGUGGACGAAAUUAUUUAAAUUGUUAAAAAAUAUCUAUGCUAUUUAUACAUAUUUUUUUUUUAAAUACAACCGACUUCAACAAUACACACUUAUGCAGAAAACUAACAAACGAAAGAAAAUAUUAUAAUAUUUUCUAUCUAUUGAUUACUUUGAAGGCGGUGCCAAUGUUCCAAUUAAUGGGCCGACAAUUAGUUAUCUAUUGUUUACUAGCUAUAGGGCUCGAAUUGCUUUUUCAUAUCUUUAAAAGACUAUCUUCGGAAUGAACCCUUUAUAAUAAAAAAGUAUUAUCAAAAUCGGACCACUCAAUAAAAAGUUAUACUUGGUUGUAUACUAAAAUUAAUGGUUAAACAAUCAAUCAUCCCCUGUUUUCGUAAUGUAAAACCAAGAAUAACUGUUAACAUGAGUAGUCCGAUUUUGAUAAUUCUUUUGAUUGAUCAUUCUUGAUUGUUUUAGUUUAAAACCAAGCAUGUCUUCGAAUUCCGAUUUGAAUAACUUUGUUUUAAAUAGAAAGGGUAUAUUCCGACAAUGGUCCCAAAUCAUUAUAAAUUUAAAAAAAACGAAGAUGACUGGUUAUUUUCCCAUUAAUUGUAUUGUAAAACUAUGCGUAACUUAUUACGAAGUGGUCCGAUUUCGUAAAUUCUUUAUAGAUUGUAAAGGUAUUUUGAUUGUAAAGCUCCCAUAUAAAUUUUAAAAAACAAUUCCAAUCCUAAAUGUGCGAUUGAUUGUUUUCUCAUUCAUUUUAAUGUAAAACCAAGCAUAACUUUUUAUUGGGUGGUUCGAUUUUGAUUAUUCUUUUCUUGAUAGAAAGGGUAUAUUUCUAAAAGUCUCAUAAAAUGUUGGAAAUUUCACAAUUUCAAACCUAAUAGUAGGAAAAUAGAAGAUGAUUAAUUGUUUUCCCAUUUAUUGUAAUGUUAAACUAUGCGUAACUUUUUACUGAGUGGACCGAUUUUGAAAAUUCUUUACUUUUUGUAAAGGGUUUAUUUCGAAGUAGGUCCCAUAUAAAUUUUGGAAAACAAUUCGAAUCCUUAAGGUGGAAAAAAACUGUACGAUUGAUUGCCUACCCAUUAAUUGUACAAUUGGCACCGGCUUCAAAGUAAUCAGUAGAUAUAAAAUAUUAUAAUGUUUUCUUCAGCUUAUUAGUUUACUGCAUAACUUUGUGUUUUUGAAGUCGGUAGUGUUUGUUUUUUAAUUAUUUAUUAUAUAAAUAGCAUAACUAUUGUUAAAUAGUAUAAAUCGUUCCAUCCUCACUCCAAAAGGUUUCUGAUUUCAAAUAAUAUGAAGAAACAAACUGAACAAAAAAAAUCAUCAAAAUCAGAGCUGUUUCUGAGGAAGUAGAGGGUAAAUGCUCUAUUGAUUCGCCUAAAAGUAAUAUUAUGAUUUUUUAUCGCAUUAGGUUGUAAAGUUCGGCUAGUGAAAGUAGAGACUGAAAUUGCCCGCCAAAUUUAAAAAUCAUAUAAACAAAGUAAAAAAACAUGCGUUUUCAUAAUUUACUUAAAUUAGUUUUUAUUUGUGAAUACAUUAUUACCUAUACUAUAAGUGUUAAACUCAGUUAUUCCAAUAUUUGCACUAUAAUUUUGAGAAUUUACUCCGAUUUUUUAAAAUUUGGCGGGUGAUUUCAGUUUCUACUUUCAUUAGCCAAAUUCUAAUAAUUUUAUUGUUUAUGAAAUUUAUACUAAUUAGAAAGAGGAAGAAUUUGAUUAUUUGUUUGUUUGCAUUGAAUAGGCUCUGAAACUACUUUGCUGAUUUAAAAAUUUCUUACAGCAUUAUAAUCAUGGAUUAUGGCCAUAAUUGUUAUCUCUGUAUUCCCACGGGAACGAGAACUACGCUGGUGAAACUGCGUGACGUUUGCAUAGUUUAUCAUAUGUACAAAUAUCCCGACAAUCUAUAUUUUUAUGUAUGAAUUGGUUAAGUUAUAAUUGACUUGAUUUUCCCAAAUAUAUCAGUGAAGUCACCCAAUUGAUGCAUAGAUAUAUUUUUAUUUUGGUUUUCAUUUUACUUUAAAGAUAAAAUUUAGUUUUAGAAGCAAAAUGAAUAUAUGUUGUAGAUUACAUUUUAGGUGCUGAUGUUUACUUAGUUAUUGAUUAAGUGCAUAAGAUUUUUUAUUUGAUAAUAAAGACAUUUCAACUUGAAA